rnacentral:rRNA from 1 species
UACAGAGGGUGCGAGCGUUGUCCGGAAUCACUGGGCGUAAAGCGUGCGCAGGCGGCUUGCCAAGUCAGAUGUGAAAGCCCCGGGCUCAACCCGGGAACGGCGUUUGAUACUGGACACCUAGAGUUCGGGAGAGGUGUGUGGAACUCCGAGUGUAGAGGUGAAAUUCGUAGAUAUUCGCAAGAACACCAGUGGCGAAGGCGGCUCACUGGUCCGGUACUGACGCUGAGGUGCGAAAGCGUGGGGAGCAAACAGG